UGGCGAACGGGUGAGUAACACGUGGGUGAUCUGCCCUGCACUUCGGGAUAAGCCUGGGAGACUGGGUCUAAUACCGGAUAGGAGCCAUUUUUAGUGUGAUGGUUGGAAAGUUUUUUCGGUGUAGGAUGAGCUCGCGGCCUAUCAGCUUGUUGGUGGGGUAAUGGCCUACCAAGGCGGCGACGGGUAGCCGGCCUGAGAGGGUGGACGGCCACAUUGGGACUGAGAUACGGCCCAG
rnacentral:rRNA from 1 species